GAUGAACGCUAGCGGCAGGCUUAAUACAUGCAAGUCGAGGGGCAGCGGGGGUAGCAAUACCUGCCGGCGACCGGCAAACGGGUGCGGAACACGUACACAACCUUCCUUUUGGUGGGGAAUAGCCCAGAGAAAUUUGGAUUAAUACCCUAUAGUAUGAUACUGAAGCAUUUUGGUAUCAUUAAAGAUUUAUCGCCGGAAGAUGGGUGUGCGUCUGAUUAGGUAGUUGGUUGGGGUAACGCCCACCAAGCCUGCGAUCAGUAACUGGUGUGAGAGCACGACCAGUCACACGGGCACUGAGACACGGGCCCGACUCCUACGGGAGGCAGCAGUAAGGAAUAUUGGUCAAUGGACGCAAGUCUGAACCAGCCAUGCCGCGUGAAGGAUGAAGGCCCUCUGGGUUAGUUAAACUUCUUUUAUCUGGGAACGAAAAAGCUCAUUCUUGAGCACUU
rnacentral:rRNA from 1 species